GAAAGGGCACCAGAGCAUCAGCACCUCUCCUCUUGGCUGACCCUGGGGGAGGCCAUAUCAGCACAGUCCUUGAAGACCGCACCUCCCUAAUCUGACACAGACUGGAACCCAUGGUUCUGAAGCCUGCUUGCCCAGUGCCCCGGGCCCCAGGGACUCCUUCCAGGCUUCUGGCCUCCUGAUCUUAGUGCCUCUAGAUCCCAGGCUUCAGAGUCCUCCAGCUAUGCUGUGUUCAGGCUGUGGGCAUGUUCUCCCAAAGGCAUCAGGAAAUCCUCGGGAAGCAAUUCCCAGGCCUCCAGUUCCUGCAUUACUUCCCAGGCUCAACACUCCACCUCUACACCAGUGAAUCUCCCCUCAAGCCUGAGGAUCACAUCAAGGCCAGAGAGAGGGCAACCUGGCCCAAAUCACACAGCAAUGCUCCUUGGUCAUCCAGACCUCACUCUGCCAUGCUGCUCUAGACCCAGAGGACCUUCAGGUUUCCAGGAGGCCUCCCCAGGGACACAAUGGAAAGAAAUGACCUAUUUUCUGGAAGUUCAAAAUAAAACGAAACAUCUGUCUGGA